UUAAGUUCAGCGGGUAUCCCUACCUGAUCCGAGGUCAAAAGAUAUAGGGUAGCUUCAUGGUAGGGGGCAAGCUGGAGCCGCUACGCAAUGUGCUGCGCACGAAAGCCAACUAACCGGCUGCCAAUAAAUUUAAGGCGAGUCCACGCGCGGAGGUGGAACAAAUGCCCAACACCAAGCAGAGCUUGAAGGUUUAAAUGACG
rnacentral:misc_RNA from 1 species